UCAUAUACUGUGAGUUUCAAUACAAAUAUUGUUACGUAUAUAAUACGACAAUAUUCAUAUUUAAAUUAUUACAAUUCCAUAUAAAGUACAGCAGCAAAUAUAUCAAGUCCCUGAAGGGACACGAGAAGAUUUAUAUUCUCCUCAUUCUAAUGGAGUGCAUCUUUGACACUUCCAAAUUCUGAUUCGAUUCACCCUAUUGUUGUUCACCAAAAUUAAAUAUCAAAUGAUGUAUAAAAUAUGUCACACACAUUUUAAGUUCUCAAUACAAUUAUUAUGCCACACCGUUUCAUAAUUUGAUUAGGAUUGUGACAAAUUUGUAUCACCACUUUAUACCCUUGUUCUCUCUGCUAGUCCCAGCUACACUUUUAUUACCUAAAAGGGGUGGAGAAGUAAAAGGAUGAGCACAAAUAGCCCAGUAAAGAAUAUCAUGAAUUAAGAUAAUUAAAUUAUCAAAGGAAUUAAAAUAUUUAGAACAUAUGGUAGAAGAUAAAAGUUUUCAACCAUAAUAGCAGCGGAAUCAACAAUCCAUUAGAAGACUCAAGUAGAACAUAAUGUCUACUAUCGCCUCUAGAUUAAAAGUACAUCGUUAAUAUUUCAUUCUUGUAAUACUCAUCAACAGUUCUUUGUUAUACCUAAGACAAAAAGAACUCUCAUCACCUGUCUUCACCUGAACCACCACAAAUUAUAAUUAAAUUCAUAAUUCAUAUUUAUAAUCAGGUAAAUCAACAGUCCAUGUUUGCAAUAUAAGCCUAAGACAUACAACUGUAAAAUCAAUAACGCUGAGACUCAGCUCAAUAGUAUCACAACCAUAAAUUAUCCAUACACUACGGGCCAAGGAUAUUCAUGUUUUCAAUUACGGUUAUGAUUAUACCGAAUAAUUUCUGGUCAUAAUCAUACCAAGUCCAUCUAUGCACUACGUGCCAAAGAUGACUUUUACCACAUCAUUUGUAACAUUAUGGUCAUGAUUAUACCAAAUAAUCCCUGAUCAUAAUCAUGUCAAGUCCAUCUAUGCACUACGGGUCAAAGAUGACUUUUAUCACAUCAUUUAUUACGGUCAUGAUUAUACCGAAUAAUCACUGGUCAUAAUCAUACCAAGUCCAUCUAUGCACUACGACCAAAAAUGACUUUUAUCAUAAUAUAAGCACGAGGAUUAUGACAAUGAUAUAUAUAUAUAUAUAUAUAUAUAUAUAUAAUGAAUAAAAAUAAAUGAUCAGAAUAAUAAGAUAACAUAGAUCUUAGUGAUUUUUAACUUAAUUAUCCAUAGUCCAAAUUGCUAACAUAAUAUUAGAUGAAGCACACAAACUAUUAAGGAUAUUCUAAUCCUUUCAAGACUUUUCACCAUUUAAUGAUAAACUGAAUGAAUGAAUAAUAAUAUCUUACCAUAAUAUGGAGUAUGAAAGAAAAUGAUAUUCAUUUUAUCAUAAAAAUGAUACACUCUUACAAAAAUAAUGAUACCCCUUAGCUUAUCAUGUGACUUGAUUCUGCUUUCUGUGAAAUUGAUCAACUUAAACAAUGCUUGCAUUCCUUAUCUACACUUGGAGUAACAUUACACUCAAUAGAAAUACUCACAAUAUUAUAGUACUCACAAUAUUGUAGUAAAAGAAUUAUAUAUUUGUAGUGUAAGGAUGGUGUGUCCUUAGUUACUCAACCGAGCAACCUAUUUAUACUAAAAAUUUAGUAAACAACUAGCACACCUCUUUGACAAAAUAACCAAAUGAGGUAUAUAAUAAUGGUAGUGGAAUUUAUGGUCCCACAGAGAAAAUCAACUUGUACACAUUUUAACAACAUUUGUUCAAUAAUAGAGUUGUGGUCCAUAUUACUUUAAGAAAAGUAGAGUGUCGGCAAGUCCUGCCAAACUUACUUUUGUAAAAAAAUAAAUUUGAACAAACAUCUGUAUGUCAUACUUAUCUUUAAUCAACAACUUUUAUUCAUCAAUUAUUUACACAUUUUCAAUCUUUCAAUAAUUAUUCACAAUUACUAAUAUAGACUCACAAUACUGCCAACUGAUUUAAUUAUAUCAUAUCAAAUUAAUAAUAUGAGUCACUAUGCAAUAACUACUGUGAUAAUUAUUGAAUGAAAGACUGAGUGACUUCUUACGUAAUUAAGAAUCAAUAAUAUGAAUCACUGUGCAAUAACUAUUGUGACAAUUAAUGAAUAAAAUCAAGAGUGAUUUCUUACGUAAGAAUCAAAUCAAUACCUUGCUAUAAUUUAAAUUCUAUUAAAAGUAGGGAUCAACACCAAAUCAUAUUUAUCUCGAAUAACAUAUAAACCAACUAAUAAUUCAUUAUUCUUUCAAGUUAUCUUUAUUUAUCGCAAACAAUCAUUAUUCAUAUUCCAAAACUUUAGAAGUGAAUAAUAAAACUUGAGAAAUAUAAAACCUCAUAUAUGACAAUCAAUUAUUCUGAUAUUAUCACCAUUUUUACUUUUACAAAUAUAUUAUUUUUUUGUUUUUAACGUAAAUCAUUCGUUACUAGUGAGUUUACAUUUCCACACCUCAUGAUCUUACUUACACUUCUAAACUAUUUAAAAAUAUGAUUCUGAACUUUACAAAUAAUUUUCAUAUUUCUAAAAUUAUUUCUAUAAUUAUUUCUAUUUAUAAAAACUAUCAUUUAAUAGCUUCGAAAUAGAAAUACUAACUUCACAUAAUUUUAUAUCAUUAAAAUAUCAUCAAUAUUAAUCUUAUAUUAUUAUAAUAUUUUUCAGCAAAGUUCAUAAUUUUUCACCAUUCAUAGAAUUUCCUAUGAAUUUUCUCUAUUUUUAAACUAACCAUAAAUAGCUUAAAAAUAUAAUAAAUAUUUCUGUUAUUCAAAAAAUUUUCAAAACUGUCCAGAAAUUAUAAAACAAUAUUAUACUAUUUUUACCAAGUUUCAUAAUUUUUCAUCAUUCAUAGAAUUUUCUAUGAAUUUCUUCUAUUUUCAAACUAACUAUAAAUAAUUUAAAAAUACAAUAAUUACUUCUGCUUUUUAAUAAUUCAUCAAAAUUUUACAGAAAUUCUAAGAUGGUAUUAUAAGCAUUCUGUAAAAAUAUUUCAGCCCAAAUAAUUUUUCUGAUAAAUUAAUUAUAAACUCCAAUAUUCAGAAAUUUCAUUAAUUCAUAAUAAUUAGCACUUUUAUUAGAAAAAUACAGGUCUUAUGUCCUUUCUAUGUAAAAUUUUAAUUCUCUACAACUUUGUAGAAGAAAUUUUUGCCAAAUUCUGACUCAAACAUAGAGAGAAAGGCUUACCAAAAUUUUUGCUACAAUAAUUUCAGGAUCAGUCACCUCCUUUUUAAUUUCCUCAAGCUUUUCCAUUACACCCACUUGAUUCUCUCACUAGCUUCUUGGAUGUUUUAAUGGAUGAAGAUGAAUAUGGUGAUCAUGGAAUGAUUAAGGAUGAAGAAGAUAUGAAAUUAUGGGUUUAAAGCUCUUCUAGCUUCCCUACCUCUCUAUUUUCUCUUUCUAUUAUUCCCUUUCUCCUUCUUUUUCCUUUCUUUUCUUCCUUUCUCUCUUUUCUUUUCCCCCCAAAUUGUUGCUACGGGAGGAUGGAAUGAAAAGAAGGCUGAUAAUUGCCUUAUUAGGCUAAUAAGUUAGCCAACAUCAUUGCCCCACACUUGCCUAAUAUUUAAAUAUUCCACCAAUCAUGAAAGACUUUG
rnacentral:lncRNA from 1 species